rnacentral:tRNA from 3 species
GGCUCCAUGGUCAAGCGGUUAAGACAUCGCCCUUUCACGGCGGUAACCCGGGUUCGAUUCCCGGUGGAGUCA